CCUACGGGAGGCUGCAGUGGGGAAUAUUGCACAAUGGGCGCAAGCCUGAUGCAGCCAUGCCGCGUGUGUGAAGAAGGCCUUCGGGUUGUAAAGCACUUUCAGCGGGGAGGAAGGCGGUGAGGUUAAUAACCUCAUCGAUUGACGUUACCCGCAGAAGAAGCACCGGCUAACUCCGUGCCAGCAGCCGCGGUAAUACGGAGGGUGCAAGCGUUAAUCGGAAUUACUGGGCGUAAAGCGCACGCAGGCGGUCUGUCAAGUCGGAUGUGAAAUCCCCGGGCUCAACCUGGGAACUGCAUUCGAAACUGGCAGGCUAGAGUCUUGUAGAGGGGGGUAGAAUUCCAGGUGUAGCGGUGAAAUGCGUAGAGAUCUGGAGGAACACCGGUGGCGAAGGCGGCCCCCUGGACAAAGACUGACGCUCAGGUGCGAAAGCGUGGGGAGCAAACAGGAUUAGAUACCCGUGUAGUC
rnacentral:rRNA from 1 species